GGACUAUCCCAGCAGGGGAAAGCCCUUGGACUGAGCUGGGCCAUACCACAGGAGGAGGCCGUUUCUGCCUGAGAGUGAAGAAAGACCUUACUACAUCCUGCUGUCUGGAGGUGCCUGUGCACUAAAUACACAUGUAAGGGUUUAUGAGCAACUCUGUCUCUGAACCUUCCUGCUAAAGGCCUUUAAAGUCAAUGGAAAUAUUCCCACUGAAGAAAAAUGGAAGUUGGAUUCACCCAAAAGCUCACCUGACAAACUGGUUUUGCAAAACUACUUUCCUGAGGCUGGAUGCUCCUAUGUAAAGAAGAUUCAGAAAUGGAGAUUGCUCAUGUUAAUAGAAUUUACAAAGGACUGGAAGUAAUCACACUUGCUUUGUGACCUUGGGCAUUCAACCUGUCUGUGCCUCCAAAAUCCCAUCUGUAAAAUGGGGACAAUGAUUAAACUUCAGAGCUACAAAAGAAAAGGAUGACCCCUCUGUGCCUCACUGAUUUCACUGGAUGGGGAUGGAUCUGGGUUGUGUAGUGAAGGAGGCUAUUAUCUGAAGUACACCUGCUUCAUUUAUUAUAGAAGGUGAAAGAUGUAUAUUGAAUGAGGAAUGGGAUUCCACUAUGAGGAAGUAUGGUCACAUGUUUAAGGCAGUUGAAUGCUAACCUGGAGAACUG